AUUGACUGACAGCUCACUGAGAGCUGGGGUCGGCAAGUCUGCAAGACCGUCGAAAACCAGGCUAGACUUUAAAAGUAUCCAGCCGAUAAGCCACGCCCCCUGCACUCAGGACUGUCUCCGAAGCCCCUCCCCCCUAACACGAAGCUAACGACAGGUCUCUACUCCAAGUCUCAUUCACCUGCCAGCUACGUUUGGAGCGAUCACAUCUAGAGCUGGAACUCUGCCUGAGACCUUUUUAUUUGUCGUUCUUUAUUUAUUUAUUCCUUGUUUUGCAUCAUCUCCAACUUGUGUGAAUAAAGUCUUUAAAAUGA